GCAGCUCUCUCUCUGUGGGUGUGUGUGUGUGUGUGUGCAUAUGUGUGUGUGUCUAUACAUAUUAUUUGGUUGGUCAGCACAGGAGAAAAUGCCUUUGGACUUUAUUUGUCAUUUGGCUUCGGAGUGAAGAAAUGCAUUCUGUUCGAGUAAACAUUGAUUGCGUCACUCAGUGUGCUACACAGCAGCCAGAUUCCUCAUGUUUGUGCAGGAGAGACAUUCUGGAGAAGGUUUUGGAGCAGUUUUUGCACUGGUAUUUCUUUACAUCAGAAUGGGUCUGCAGAUGAGCCCUCAGAUUUGACCUGUCUGCAAAUGCUCUGUUGCAGUGAGGGCAAGAAA
rnacentral:lncRNA from 10 species